GACGAACCGUGCGAACGUUGUUCGGAAUCACUGGGCUUAAAGGGCGCGUAGGCGGGCGGCCGCGUCCGGGGUGAAAUCCCACGGCUCAACCGUGGAACGGCCUCGGAUACGGGCGGCCUCGAGGGGGGUAGGGGCAUCUGGAACUGUGAGUGGAGCGGUGAAAUGCGUUGAUAUUCACAGGAACUCCGGUGGCGAAGGCGAGGUGCUGGACCCCAUCUGACGCUGAGGCACGAAAGCUAGGGGAGCAAACAGG
rnacentral:rRNA from 1 species